AUUGAAAGUACGCUCUGAAAUAAUAAAGAAGAAACAAACAGCAAAGCCAAACCAAACAAAAUAGCUUCAGAGGACAAUGCAGAGUAUGUACCUUUUCAGAUUUAGAGAUUGUGUUUUCCUCCGUGUUCUGUCACCAUUUUGUGAACUUUCCACGGAGAUGUUCCCUGGACCCCAGUCUGAGCCUCACAUUAUACACAUUUGGAGUACACUUGCAUCCAGAAUCAAAGAAGAGACAAACCCAGGUAAUCCGUAGCUUGAAGCAGAGUCUCCAUCCUAGGCUGAUCCUAGAUCAUCUGACCCCAGCCAACCCAAAGUUUCAUAAGUAGUAAAUGUGUUUAAUGCUAUAGAAUUUUGACUUGGCUUGGUAAACAGAUAAAGCUAACUUAUCCAAAAAUUGAUAUCUGGCAGUGGGGUGCUGAGGUAGCAGAAACCUAAAGUUUGUGGCAAUAUUUUUGUUUUUUUUGGAGCUGUGUGGAAAAGAGUCGGGAAACAAAUAGAAGUCCAGAAAACGACCAUGAAAUUGUUAUAAGUGCUUGGAAAAAUGGCUAACCAAAACAUAUGGAAAAUUGUCAUUAUAUUUUAAAAAAUUAUCAUUUUAUUAUUAUUUUUUCCAUCAUGGUAAGUGUACUCUUUAAGUGUAAGUGUUCCCUCUGGGAACCAUCAGUUUGUUCUCUAUAGUUAAGAGUCUAUUUCUUGAUUUUUCUCUUUUUUUCCCACUUGCUUGCUUGUUUUGUUUCUUAAAUUCCAUGUAUGAGUGAAAUCAUAUGGUAUUUGUCUUUCUCUGGCUGACUUCUUUUGCUCAGCAUUAUACUCUAGUUCUAUCCAUGUCAUUGUAAAUAGCAAGAUUUCAUUCUUUUUAUGGCUGAGCUAUAUUUCAAUAAAUAAGUAAGUAAGUAAGUACACACACACACACACACACACACACACACACGUACACACCCCACAUCUUUAUUCAUUUAUUGAUGAACACUCAGGAUGCUUUGGUAAUUUGGCUAUGGUACGUAAUGCUGCUAUAAACGUAAAUAUGUAUGUGUCCCUUUAAGUUCAUGUCUUUGCAUUUUUUUUUGGGGGGGGGUAAAUACCCAGUAGUGUGAUUCCUGGAUCAUAGGGUAGUUCUGUUUUUCAAUUUUUGAGGAACCUCCAUACUGUUUUCCACAGUGGUUGCCCCAGUUUGCGUUCCUACCACCUGUUGUUGAUUUCUAAUGUUUUUCCAUAGGGAUCAGAAAACAUAGUUUAUCUUCCUAAAUUAUUUUAAAUUUAUCAAAGUCUAUUUUAUGGGUUGCAAUAUGGUCUUCUCGGUAAGUGCUUUAUGUGUGUUUGAGUGUGUAUUCCAAACUCCUUUGGGGUGGUGUUUUACAAAUGUCUAUUAGAUUAACUUGAAUGUUGACUGUAUCCUUUGCUGUGAAAAGCUUCUUAUCUUUAUGAAGUCCCAAUAGUUCAUUUUUGCUUUUGUUUCUUUUGGCUUACGUGGAUGUAUCCUGCAAGAAGUUACUGUGGCCGAGUUCAAAAAGGGUGUUGCCUGUGUUCUCCUCUAGGAUUUUGAUGGAAUCUUGUCUCACAUUUAGAUCUUUCAUCCAUUUUGAGUUUAUCUUUGUGUAUGGUGCAAGAGAGUGGUCUAGUUUCUUUCUUCUGCAUGUGGAUGUCCAAUUUUCCCAGCACCAUUUAUUGAAGAGACUGUCUUUCUUCUAAUGGAUAGUCUUUCCUCCUUUAUCGAAUAUUAGUUGACCAUAAAGUUGAGAGUCCACUUCUGGAUUCUCUGUUCUGUUCCAUUCAUCUAUAUGUCUGUUUUUGUGCCAGUACCACACUGUCUUGAUGACCACAGCUUUGUAGUACAACCUGAAAUCUGGCAUUGUGAUUCCCCCAGCUAUGGUUUUCUUUUUAAAAAUUCCCCUGGCUAUCCAAGGUCUUUUCAGAUUCCACACAAAUCUUAAAAUAAUUUGUUCUAACUCUCUGAAGAAGUGUCCAUGGUAUUUUGAUAGGGAUUGCAUUAAACGUGUAUAUUGCCCUGGGUAACAUUGACAUUUUCACAAUAUUAAUUCUGCCAAUCCAUGAGCAUGGAAUAUUUUUCCAUCUCCUUGUGUCUUCCUCAAUUUCUUUCAGAAGUGUUCUAUAGUUUUUAGGGUAUAGAUCCUUUACCUCUUUGGUGA
rnacentral:lncRNA from 1 species